rnacentral:rRNA from 1 species
GAUAACGCUGGCGGCGUGCCUAACACAUGCAAGUCGAACGCUCUCUCGGCAACGAGAGGGAGUGGCGGACGGUGAGUAACACGUGGAUAACCUACCUCGAGGUGAGGAAUACCGGCGAGAAUCGCUGACAAUGCCGCAUAAGUUUGGAACAAACAAAGCCGUAAGGCGCCAUGAGAUGGGUCCACGGCCGAUUAGCUGGUUGGGUGGGAAG